rnacentral:rRNA from 1 species
GGCGGACGGGUUAGUAACGCGUGGGAACAUACCCUUUUCUACGGAAUAGCCUCGGGAAACUGAGAGUAAUACCGUAUACGCCCUUCGGGGGAAAGAUUUAUCGGAGAAGGAUUGGCCCGCGUUUGAUUAGAUAGUUGGUGGGGUAAUGGCCUACCAAGUCUACGAUCAAUAGCUGGUUUGAGAGGAUGAUCAGCAACACUGGGACUGAGACACGGCCCAGACUCCUACGGGAGGCAGCAGUGGGGAAUCUUAGACAAUGGGCGCAAGCCUGAUCUAGCCAUGCCGCGUGAGUGACGAAGGCCUUAGGGUCGUAAAGCUCUUUCGCCAGAGAUGAUAAUGACAGUAUCUGGUAAAGAAACCCCGGCUAACUCCGUGCCAGCAGCCGCGGUAAUACGGAGGGGGUUAGCGUUGUUCGGAAUUACUGGGCGUAAAGCGUACGUAGGCGGAUUGGAAAGUAGGGGGUGAAAUCCCAGGGCUCAACCCUGGAACUGCCUCCUAAACUAUCAGUCUAGAGUUCGAGAGAGGUGAGUGGAAUUCCAAGUGUAGAGGUGAAAUUCGUAGAUAUUUGGAGGAACACCAGUGGCGAAGGCGGCUCACUGGCUCGAUACUGACGCUGAGGUACGAAAGUGUGGGGAGCAAACAGGAUUAGAUACCCUGGUAGUCCACACCGUAAACGAUGAAUGCCACACGUCGGGGGGCUUGCCCUUCGGUGUCACACCUAACGGAUUAAGCAUUCCGCCUGGGGAGUACGGUCGCAAUAUUAAAACUCCAUAGAAGUGACAGUGGCCCGCACAAACGCU